GAUGAACGCUGGCGGCGUGCCUAAUACAUGCAAGUCGAGCGAACAGACGAGAGUGCUUGCACUCUCUGACGUUAGCGGCGGACGGGUGAGUAACACGUGGGUAACCUACCUAUAAGACUGGGAUAACUUCGGGAAACCGGAGCUAAUACCGGAUAAUAUUUAGCUUCGCAUGAAGCAAUAGUGAAAGACGGUUCUGCUGUCACUUAUAGAUGGACCCGCGGUGUAUUAGCUAGUUGGUGAGGUAACGGCUCACCAAGGCAACGAUACAUAGCCGACCUGAGAGGGUGAUCGGCCACACUGGGACUGAGACACGGCCCAGACUCCUACGGGAGGCAGCAGUAGGGAAUCUUCCGCAAUGGACGAAAGUCUGACGGAGCAAUGCCGCGUGAGUGAAGAAGGUUUUCGGAUCGUAAAACUCUGUUGUAAGGGAAGAACAAGUACGCUAGUAACUGAACGUACCUUGACGGUACCUUACCAGAAAGCCACGGCUAACUACGUG
rnacentral:rRNA from 1 species